rnacentral:rRNA from 1 species
GAUGAACGCUAGCGGCAGGCUUAAUACAUGCAAGUCGAGGGGCAGCAUGGUGUAGCAAUACACUGAUGGCGACCGGCAAACGGGUGCGGAACACGUACGCAACCUUCCCAAAACUGGUGAAUAGCCCUCCGAAAGGAGGAUUAAUACACCGUAACAUAAUGAAGUGGCAUCAUUUUAUUAUUAUAGCUCCGGCGGUUUUGGAUGGGCGUGCGACUGAUUAGGUAGUUGGCGGGGUAACGGCCCACCAAGCCUGCGAUCAGUAACUGGUGUGAGAGCACGACCAGUCACACGGGCACUGAGACACGGGCCCGACUCCUACGGGAGGCAGCAGUAAGGAAUAUUGGUCAAUGGACGAAAGUCUGAACCAGCCAUGCCGCGUGAAGGAUGAAGGCCCUCUGGGUUGUAAACUUCUUUUAUAGGGGACGAAAAAAGGGAAU